GAUGAAGAACGUAGCGAAAUGCGAUACGUAAUGUGAAUUGCAGAAUUCAGUGAAUCAUCGAGUCUUUGAACGCACAUUGCGCCCCCUGGUAUUCCGGGGGGCAUGCCUGUCCGAGCGUCAUUGCUGCCCUCAAGCACGGCUUGUGUGUUGGGCCUCCGUCCUCCUCCCGGGGGACGGGCCCGAAAGGCAGCGGCGGCACCGCGUCCGGUCCUCGAGCGUAUGGGGCUUCGUCACCCGCUCUUGUAGGCCCGGUCGGCGCUUGCCGACACAUCAAUCUUUUUUCCAGGUUGACCUCGGAUCAGGUAGGGAUACCCGCUGAACUUAAGCAUAUCAUAAGCGGAGGA
rnacentral:misc_RNA from 1 species